ensembl:misc_RNA Y_RNA Y RNA
GGCUGGUCUGAGUGCAGUGAUGUUUACAACUAAUUGAUCACAUUCAGUUACAGAUUUAUUUGUUCCUUCUCCAUUCCCACUGCUUCACUUGACUAGCCUUCA